rnacentral:hammerhead_ribozyme from 1 species
AUCCAGAUGACGAGUCCCAAAUAAGACGAAACGCGCGUCCAACUGAAU